UGGCUGCCCCUGCCUGUCGUACAGAGCUAAGACGAAGUGGAAAAAAUUGGAUUUUCUGAGAUUGGAAGGCGGCUGUUUCUCGAAAUGCGCCCGAGCCAGCCCCACGCCGCUGCGGGAGAAAACAAGACAAGGCGCGGGCGCGCUCAGCGCGGUGUCAUCCUAGUGAAACGGCGUCAAAAAAAAAAAAAGCUUCGGGACACUGCUGAAUCGACCACUUCUGGCGAGGCUUCUCCCGCUCCAAAAGACAAAUAAACGCAAAAAAACGAC